rnacentral:rRNA from 1 species
GACGAACGCUGGCGGCGUGCUUAACACAUGCAAGUCGAACGAAGUGGCGAACGGGUGAGUAACGCGUAAUAACCCUGCCCUUCAGAGGGGGACAACAGUUGGAAACGACUGCUAAUACCGCAUACUGAAGGAGGGGAUUGCGUGUGAUUAGCUAGUUGGAGGGGUAACGGCCCACCAAGGCGAUGAUCAGUAGCCGGUCUGAGAGGAUGAGCGGCCACAUUGGGACUGAGACACGGCCCAGACUCCUACGGGAGGCAGCAGUGGGGAAUUUUGGACAAUGGGCGCAAGCCUGAUCCAGCCAUGCCGCGUGUCUGAAGAAGGCCUUCGGGUUGUAAAGGACUUUUGUCAGGGAAGCGGUACCUGAAGAAUAAGCACCGGCUAACUACGUGCCAGCAGCCGCGGUAAUAC